UUCACCAUUUUUGCAAAAUCUGCUCAGAAUGUGACAGGAAGAAAUAUACCCAAUGGAAAGAAGGAUGGAAGACAAAUAGAGACAGAGGAUGAAAUGAAUGGCCUGGAACGCAAGAAGACCCCAAAUAAAGUACAGCCUCCAGAUAAGAAGUCUCCCCAACCGUUCAUUCCUGGCCUUGGAUCAUCUCACAGUAUGGCAACUGGAUUACAAAAGCGAGUAUCUUAAGAGAGACGUGGUACAAAGGAAUGACUUAUGCUUGGAAAUCAUGCAGCUUUCUUCUGUCAGAUUCUCUUUGCUAAAGGAGCUGAACUACCCCUGCCCCAACACUGCAGGAUCAAAUUUCAGAGAUUUGAGGGCUAAGAACAGAGCACCAAGUCCAGAGGAGAAAAAGCUAGGAACCUCUGGAUCUUCCUGAAGCUAUUGUGCUGUGUGCAGAAUUGUGGCCUGCCACCAAGGUCAUGUGGGUGUCAUGAUGGAAAUGAAACUCCUGUCUUGCAGUCAAACCUCAAUGAGGUUUGCUUCCUGCACUGGCUGAACCUACAUGUCUUCCUAAUUUGUAUAAUCAGAGGCCACCUGAAGAAUGGAUCAGUAGCAUCCUGGAAGAGCUGUGAGGAGAAUUUACCUGCUUAAAUUAUAUCCUCAGUCUAAAACUCCCACACCUGUCGUGUUUUUGCACUUUCUUCAUUCAUGCCUCCUCUGUGAUCAGCACUGGGCUUCCCAAAUCAUCCAAUCUUCCAGCAGGUAUCAGGUGGUAUAUCUAUUUUUAGCAUUAUCAUGGGCUAAGUGUUGUAAAGAAAACAAUGAUACAAAGAUGAAUGGAUCAGAGAUUCAGACAUAAGAAGCUCCCUAUUAAGGUGGGGGGACAGAUAAACAAAUUAAAAACUGUGACAAAUGCUAACACCUCUCUCCUAGAGAGUACUGAAUUAAAUUGAACAAAAGUCCCUCAAACUGGCAAUUAGAUCUUAAUGAUGGCACAUUAAAGAGAGCAGUUUCAGGAAAGAAGGUGAAAGCCACGUUAUUUUGGAGUUGUACUGAUUGGGUGGUUGUAGAAUGACCACAAUGAACUGUUCUAUAGUAAACUUUGCAUAAAAAUGUAUCACCACAAGAUGGUAGCUAAUGGGAACUCAGAUGUCAGGAGAACAUUUGUUGAUCUGCUUUAAAGAUGAGAGAUUUGUGGUAUGAACUUGCUAUUGUGAAGGAACUUCAUGCCUCAAAUCUCAGAAGUUUGUGUGUUUUUUUGUUGUUGAAUUUUGCUUUUUUUUUUCAAGUUUUUAAGUCAACUUUUAAAAUGCAAAUACUACUGAGAAGAGUAGGCUCUUAGUAAAAUCUGUCAGUUGUCAGUUAACACCUUAGCAGGGCACAGGAUGCUAGGGGGUGCCAAGAGCAGACAGGAGAAAUGCUGCUCCUGACGAGGUGGGAGAGCACCCAAUAUCCGUUUCUUCACAGUUGCGCCUGGGAGUCAGCCAGAGAAUCCCAGCUGGUCCUGGUUUGACAAACAAUCCUCAUUCUCAUUCAAUUGCCCAGAAUAUAGGAACACAAACAGGACUCAAAUAAAUGCUUUUGCAAAUUGUUCUCCCUUGCUGGGAUUAGUUUUUAAAUCAAUGAAGAUAUAGAUUAUAGAAGCAAACCAGGGAUUACAGAAGAAUAAUUUUGAUUACUACAAAUAAUACUAAAAUGAUGCAUGUUUAUGAACAGCUAAAAAAUAUAAAAGUUAGAAUAAAAAUGAAAUCUGCCUUCAUCUCCUCCCUAUUUAAUUACCCCCCAAUGGUAAUUAUAGUUACCAGCUUGGUGAAGGACUUUCUACACUUAUACUGUGCAUUUAUAUACACACAUGUACACAUUAUAUAUAUGUCAUCUGGCCCUCUUGCCAAGCUGUUUUCCCUGGUCUAAUUUAUACUUGUCAGUAGGAAUGUGACUGGGAAGUUCUCACCUAUCCUUGAUAAUAAUAAUAACUGUUAAUAUUUACUAAGUGCUCUCUAGAUUCAAGAUAUGAUACUAAGCACUAUGAUACUAAGCACUUUAUUUUUUAAUCUUACAAGUACUAAUAAAUAGCCAGAAACCCUCCACAUAGCCAGAAACCCUCCACAUAAAUAGCCAGAAACCCUCCACAAAGCCAAAGUCCCCAUAGUUACUCUUCCUAACCCUACACCCUUCUUCUGACAUAACCACUGUUGCCAGUUAGGUAGGUAUCCUACACAUUAAAACAAUUUAUAUACAUACCUAUAUGUAUAUUCAGAAAUAUAAUUUGUUUCUGUAAUUAUCAUCAUUCUAUAAAUAUUGCACAACUCACAUCUUUUAUUUUGGUCAUACAGAGCUUUCCAUUUCAAGCCAUGUAAAUACAGCCCAUUCUUUUUAACAUUUGCAUAGAAGGUAUGCUAAUCCAUUCUGUGGUUUCAUCACCGAUGAGCCAGUCAUUCUACUGGCUGACACUGAGGUUGAUCUGACUUUUUCAUUAUAAGAAUGAAUGGCCUAAUAAAAAGCUCAUACAGGCCUUUUGGACAUAUAUACCACUAUUUCCUUUUGUUAGUGAGGAGAGCAGUUGAAGGAUGGAAAACAGAGAAGGCAUUUGCCUGGCAUCCAUUCCUUGCUCCUCCAUUUGCAGGAGUUCUCAUAUUCCAUUCAAGCUCUUUGCUACUGGGGCAUCAGACUACAGUAGAAGUGGAUCUUAGGACAGGCUAAGGCAAUGAACCCAUUUAAUACCUCUGAUCACAACAAUGAUUAACCUAGAGGAUGGCACAUGUCUUGUAACGGUUCUAAUAAAAAUAAAAUUCAAGGAUUUUGAUACCAAUUCUGAGAUACUUAUUCUUUCUUACUGUACAUGUACAGAAAUUACAUAGACCUGGAAGAUGUCCAUGCUAUCUGUAAUAGUUUGCUAGCGCUGCUAUAACAAAAUACCACAAACUGGGUGGCACAAAUAACAGAAAUUUAUUUUCUCAGUGGUCCAAAGCCUAGGCGUCCAAGAGCAAGGUGUCGGCAAAUUGAUUCCUUGUGAAGACUAUGAAGGAAGAAUCUGCCUCGGGCCUUUCUUUGUGGUUUGUAGAUAGCUAUCCUCUCCCUGGGUCUUUACAUUGUCUUCCUUCUGUGUGAGUUGUGUCUAAAUUUUCGCUUCUUGUAAGGGUACCAAUCAUACUGCAUCAGGGCCCACUCUGGAAACCUCAUGUUAAUUACUUCUCUAAAAACCCUAUCUCCAAAUACGUUUAUAUUCUGAGAUAUUUAGGGUUAGGACUUCAACAUAUGCAUUUUGAGGACAUAAUUCAACUUAUAACACCAUCUUAGUAUCAUAGUCGGAGGCAAACGUAGGACAGAGGGCGAGCUGAGAAUCAGAAGGAAAUGGGUGCUUGCAGGUCAAGCCUUACGUAAAGCCAAUGUUCCCUUGCUCAAUUCCUUUCAACUGAAAUUUUCAGUUGAAAGAGUCAAUAAUUUGAAUGGCACAAGCAAGUUUAAAUAGGAUUUGUUUCUUGUGACCAAAAGAACUCAGGCUUUUAGAAAAAUAUGUUACAGUCUGAAAGAUACUGCUCAGUUAACCUCCUAAAAGGCAUUUUAAACAUACUCUCUCAUUGAGGGUACAUAAAAGUUCCAUGUCCAUUCAUGGUAAUCAACAAAAAUGGUUCAUCACCAUUCUUUUCAGUGAAAACUGAUA